rnacentral:rRNA from 1 species
AACGAACGCUGGCGGCAGGCCUAACACAUGCAAGUCGAGCGCCCCGCAAGGGGAGCGGCGGACGGGUGAGUAACGCGUGGGAACGUACCCUUUGCUACGGAAUAGCCUCGGGAAACUGGGAGUAAUACCGUAUGUGCCCUUCGGGGGAAAGAUUUAUCGGCAAAGGAUCGGCCCGCGUUGGAUUAGGUAGUUGGUGGGGUAAUGGCCUACCAAGCCGACGAUCCAUAGCUGGUUUGAGAGGAUGAUCAGCCACACUGGGACUGAGACACGGCCCAGACUCCUACGGGAGGCAGCAGUGGGGAAUCUUAGACAAUGGGCGCAAGCCUGAUCUAGCCAUGCCGCGUGAGCGAUGAAGGCCUUAGGGUUGUAAAGCUCUUUCAGUGGGGAAGAUAAUGACUGUACCCACAGAAGAAGCCCCGGCUAACUCCGUGCCAGCAGCCGCGGUAAUGUACAUGU